ACACGUCUUCGAAUUUUUUGGUUCUAGGACAUGCUGGUUUCCUCACGAUGUUUUCCUUCACCGUUUUGAGAGCAGUAGUGACGAAAUAAAUUACACAAAGUUAUGCGCCAGAUCGGGUUUGAACCCGCGACCUACCACUCGUAAGUUGGGGCAGUUACCACUCGGCCACCACUGCUCUCAAAUUACACACUAUUUUAAUCAUUUUCCGAGUUAAGAUAUUAUUAUAUCAUGUCAGUGGGUAGUCUUCGCUUUGAUUGAAAGAGAUGUUAUAUUAGAUACGGGAAUGGUGUAAGCAAGAAAACUUUUUAUAGUAAGUACCUAAUGAUUUUUGGCAAGGAAAGUUGGGACUUAAGUAUAUAGGUAUAUAUGUUACGUGAGUUUGUGGUAGUUAGAAGCGGAAUUAACAAUAAAUGUGGUAUUCUAUGUCGUCUAAGACGAAUAGCAUGGAGUGUACAUACCGCAGAGCAUUUUAGUGCCAGGCUUUGGAAACCGAUGCAAAGUGAUGCUGGGAUCUUUAGAAGGUGAAGAUCCACACAAGCAGCAGAUUCUUGUGUUUUCUUUUUGUGAACUCAUCGCGAAUUAAACACAAAACAAAAUCAAACAAGUCACUGUCUCAACACCGAGUCUAUAUCUCACAAAUACACACUUAAUUUCACCAAAACACAGCAACGGAGGAGCAAGCUCGACUCAACGUUAUCAAUGUAUGUAGAAUUAAAUGGAAGUAGUUUAUUUAUUACAAAUAAACAUUAGUACAAGAUAAAAUGGUGCGCAACCGGCCGCAGACAUUUUUCUUGUGACGUCAACAAUGUCAAAACCAAUAUGGCGUCCGGACAUUAGUGUUGCCACACAUAAUCCCCCAUAUAUAUUUUCUAAUAAGUAAUAUUAAAUUUUAUAUCUAAUAUUUCUCAACUAAGUAUAUUUUUUGGCAUUAGAAUAAUAGCUAAAAGUAUCUUCAAGGGUAAUUUACUUUAAAAAUCAAUUUAUACGCUCAUUAUUAGGGAGAAUACGAAAUUGUAUUUUUGGUGGCAACAUUAUAUAUUUAUCUCUUUUACUCUGAUGUCGUUGACUCUCUCUUGUUUUCAAGCCCACCUUAAUGCAAUUCGUAGAACAAACUUGACAGACCCUGAUUGCGAUGCAUUUUUUAUAAUAACCUGGAACUUAUGUAUAGCCAUAGACUAGUCUACUUAUUAUGAAGAGGUUAGUGCGUGAUGACGAAAAAGUUUUUAAUGUAAUGUUAGAUAUUUUAGGUGUAAGUUGACAUGCCGCUAUUGAUUAUAUUACCUAGUGUAUAUUUAGUAUGUACUGUGUAACCACUGACCAUUGUCGCCCUAGUAUUAUGUAUAUGUUGGGGCAUAGACUGGGGGGAGCUCUAGUCUAUGUCUUUAGACGCAACCUGUGAUAUGUAUAAGCAACGCCCUUUAUGAUUUUUUUGCGUUUUGUUUUAAUGGUUUUUCCUCAAUUUUUGUAUAUCACAAUCAUGUGUCACAAGAAGGGUUGUCUUUACUACCCAAUGUAUCGAUAUAUCGAUAUUUUUUUGUUGUAUUUUUUUUCUUUAUUCUAUUUGUAUUAUUUUAUUCCAAUACAAUGCAUUUUCUAUUUUUUGAGAACGGAUUAUGAAUGUAUGAAAUCAAAUUUUGAUAAAAUGUUCUUCGUUGUUGCUCAAUUUAUUUAUUUACUUUGAAACACCAAGUUGCAAAUAUCAAAAAGAGGUAAAUGUGUAAAUAAUUAUAAAUAUUACUUAUGAAUUCUAAGUUUUACUGUGUCUUAUGAAUUUUAUGUUAAUCAAUGACAUAUAUAAGAUUGAUUUAUUUUAUGAAUUCAUGAUGGGUAUGAAAAAGCAUUACACCAAUGAAAGUUUGGGCACAAAUCUGUAUGUACAGUAUUUAUUGGUAUUGUAAAUAUGUUGCUACGAGGCAAACGUGAGCCAAUGUUCGAUAUGUAAAUAAAAUAUUUUGUAAAUCAAUUGGAACGUCGACGACUUUACUCACGACUGGGAAACUUUUUUGGAAAAGUAAAACAUUCUCAAAUUGUAAAGAUUUAUAGUUUUCUAUAGUCUUUAUUAUAAUUUUAGAGUUUCAGCUUAUUAUUGUUUCAAUAUUCAAUUUGUAUAAAUAAAGUAUUAGUAUAUUACAAAAUUCGGCAUUUAUAAUAGUCGAUAAAUUUGCACAGUUUUUAUUGGAGCAACGCGGUUUAGGGAUGUGUUGUACGUUUUAAAGUCUGAUGCAUUUUAUGAAUGAUUUGUCUAUCUCAUUAAUUUAUAACUCAUACAUUUAUUGUACCUAAUUUAGUUAGAGUUGUUUGUGAUAGAAAUACUCUGUGUGUUAAAACUAUCUUCUAUCUAUAUUAAUAAGCGUCAAUUGUGCUUCUAAUAUACAAUAGAAUUUAUGUUUAGUGAAUCAUUACUGUGAUAAUUUUAUUUCAUUGUGAUUUUCCCGGAUGUCUUUUUUACUUAAUUUUUAUGCACUUGUUUGUAUGUCAAAGGACAUUGCCACCCGUUGGGCCCCUUAUUUGUGAUAGAGUGUCAAGAAUAUUUUAUUAUUAAAAAUCAAGUCCUAAUUUUAUAAAACUAACUAUUUUUUUUUCAGAAUUUCUUGUACCCUAGCAUUGAAAAACAUAAUUAAUAUUUAUUUUAUUGAAUCUAAGCUAGUUCCGCCAUUAAAACUUAACCUGAAUGUUGCCAGGUAGACGACAGACUAUCUCAUUUAAAUGAACGAGGUGAUCAAUUGAAAAUAUCGAUAUAAUAUAUAGCAUUUUUCUCUUAUAUCAAAAUGUACAAGUAUAUAUAUUAAGUAUGCACUCGUAAAUAGUAAACAAGAAAAGAAGAAAGAAAAACUGUUUAUAACUGUUGCACAAACAAUAAAAUAUCAACACUAACAAAAGUCACCACUAAACUAUAUCUAUAAAACGGUUACAUAUAACACCAUACAUGGAAUACAACAAUAACACAAUAAUAAGUAAAUGAUAUUAUUUAUAACAAAUCGAUUUAGGAAAUCGAUUAACAAAAUAUUUAACAUGGUAACAUCUACUCGGAACGCGAGUCUAUCUGUCAAAUCAAUACGUCAUUCAAAUUGUUUUCGUGCCGGUUGUUAUGUUAUGCGUAGAGUUGAAUUUAUUCCUCCGUAUUUGCUUCUGAUCGUUACAAUUUGCGUAAAAACUGUCGAGCUGAUCGUUUUCGUGCCUCCAGUGGUUUUUUUUAGAUAUUGGACUCUUUUCUUAAUGAUAAGUGAGCACAUUGACUCGUGAGCAUUGGACUCUUGUUUUUAGUGAUAUUGUUGUUUUACUCCGGAAAAAUGUCUGCACCUGGUAGAAGUCGAGUAAACUACUCUUUGUCUCGCCGGUGUGUUAAUUGCUCUUUACGUAUAGCGCCUAAUCUUCGUAGACGUUAAAUUGAAGAAAUAGAUGAACCAAUGCUUAUCCUUCUAAGAUCCUGGGUAACACCUACAUUGAUAUCUUCUGAUGAUAUCCUGUGUGUGAAAUGUUUUGUAUUAUUACAAAACCAGACAGCAUCUAACUCAAAUCUGUCACUUGUAUCCCCUGCUCGUGGACACCUAAACUUAUGCUACGCAUGUGGCUUGUCAAUAGCAAGUCGCAGAACUCAUAGUCAGUCAAGAUAGUUCCUCAAAGGAAUGUUAUACUAAGAUGGACACCAGUACAUCACGUGUUGCAUUUGGAACGAGUUUGUGUUCCUUGUUGGGCGGCUGCAUCAAGACAAGUCCGGAGGCAACCCGUUGCUGGCAGUAGCCAACACACUGUGGAGUCUGCACGGAGACUGGUAUCAUGGAUGGAAACAUAAUUACAGAUAUGAUGAUUCCUGUACCACCACCACUGCCACCGCUUUAAUGAUAUAAGCGCUCCAGCACAAUUUCUAGACAACAUAUUCCUUGAAGAAUAAAUGUUUAUUAUUUUAAUUGGUUGUGUUUUUUCUUAUUAAACAUCUGUAUAGCAUUUACUAUAUUUUAAACUCCUUUAUAAUUAAGCCCUUUCUAAAAUAAACUACAGCUAAUCAUAGAUGACACAGCGAUCUUACUAAGUAGCAGGGCAGUGAUUUUACUAUGUCGCUUGCAGGAGAUGCUGUCAUAUAUGUCAUACAUACUCGUAUAUACUAGGUACCUACCAGUUUGCCAACAAUCUUGGGGUCGGCUUUUAGUCUAACCGAUGCCGCUGAAUACAGUAUUGCUCAAAGAGUGAUUGCCCAUCUGACCUCCAUACCCGAUACACUGGGUUAUAACAUGUUACCUCUUGGUAAGUGGUUGUCACACUUGCUGGAUUCUUGCUACUCGUAACAAGUAUAAUGCACCCAGAAUCAGCAGUUUAAAUGUAAGUACUAGCUGCCACCCAGCUGAAGUUUGUAAUGGAUGGUCACCCAAGUGCAAUCUGACCAAGUAGCUUAACUUAAGAUAUCUCCUUGUGGUUGUUGUAACGUAGCCACAUGCUCCUCCAACCAAUUUAGCCCUAAGUAUAUUUAUUUCUACUGGUUGCAGCAAAACCUACUUCCGCUGACUGCAAGAUAAACAGUUUAACAUAUUAUUUAGCAAGAAAAGAUGAUAUCUGAUGUUUUUAUUUCAUUUGGGAAUCAAUAUUAAUACUAAAAAUAUUUUAUUGUUUUAACGCAAAUUGUUUUUGAAAAAAUAUUGUCUAAUAACCUCAAUUUCUUCAUCAGAAAAAAAUCAAUAAUUCUCGGAAACUAGGGUGAAAAAUUAUAAAUUGUUUUCAGGGUCUGAAAAGGUAAUUGUCGUUCUUCAAAAUAAAGUUAAUACCACCAUGGCACGCAAUUUUUUUCUGGGGGCCCAAAUCUCCUAACAAAACGGGCAUUCUCCUUUAGUAUAAAAUAAUUAAAUAAUAUUCUAAACCAAAAUGUCUAUUUCUAACACGAUAUACUUACCUUUAAACUGUUGACUUACAAUAAUGAAUACCUACCUUUAUCAUAAAUAAUUAGGAAAUGUGACAGUACCUAGCUUACACAUCAGUACGAGAGGAACUAAGUUACUCUGUUGACAUUCUGAGACAGAGGAAUGUAAUGUUAUCUGAUAAUUAUAUGAAUAAAUAAAUGUACCUUUUCAAUAUUACCUAAUGGCCCAUAAUCAUUGAAUAGCGAUUGUAACGAAUGUAUUCAUGUAAACUAAUGUUACCUAAACUAGUGAUGAUGACGUCGAUUUUGUAUUAUUGUAUUUUUUGUACAUAAUGUAGCUAGAGGAAAUUAAUUAUGUGCAAUUAUUACCACCUCUAUGGCGCAAUACCAAAGGUAUUUAUGUUCUGUAACUGUUGUGUAAAAUACUCGGAGUUAUUAAAAUUAUAACGAAAUGAUCGAAAACGA